rnacentral:rRNA from 1 species
GACGAACGCUGGCGGCGUGCUUAACACAUGCAAGUCGAACGGAAAGGCCUUUUCGGAGGUACUCGAGUGGCGCACGGGUGUGUAACACGUGGGUGAUCUGCCCUGCACUCUGUGAUAAGCCUGGGAAACUUUGUCUAAUACCGGAUAGGACCGCACUUUAGUGUGUGUGGUGGGAAGUUUUUUCGGUGUAGGAUGAGCCCGCGGCCUAUCAGCUUGUUGGUGGGGUAAUGGCCUACCAAGGCGGCGACGGGUAGCCGGACUGAGAGGUUGGUCGGCCACAUUGGGACUGAGAUAAGGCCCAGACGCCUAAGGGAGGCAGCAGUGGAGAAUAUUGAAAAAUGGGAGCAAGCCGGAUGCAGCGACGCCGCGUGGGGGAUGACGGCCUGCGGGUUGUAAAAUCCUUUCGCCAGGGACGAAGCGUUUUGUGAAGGUACCUGGAGAAGAAGCACCGGCUAACUACGUG